AGACUUUCACGCAGUUUUGGUGCUCGCGCGCGGAUUCUCUCGUGCGCAGUUAAACGGGAAGCAGGGCGCGUUUCUUCGCGAGAUCGAACGGACGUCAACCUGCGCUGCCCCCGCAACGGUAAACGAUCGCCGCGCGCACGAUCUCGCAUCACACGCGCGGCAAGCCGCUUCCAGGCCACUGCGCAAUGCGUGGGAAGGCGAAGCGGCGUUUUCGUCAGCCCGGAUACCGGCCAGACAUUCGACGGGUUC
rnacentral:ncRNA from 2 species